GGUCCCUUAGCUCAGCUGGAUAGAGCACCGGAUUUCUAAUCCGGCGGUCGCACGUUCGAAUCGUGCAGGGAUCG
rnacentral:tRNA from 1 species